rnacentral:rRNA from 1 species
UAAGACGGCCAUAGUAAACCGGCAACACCUGUUCCCAUUCCGAACACAGAAGUUAAGGGGUUUACGUUGAUUGUUGUAGUGUCCGACAAGAUGCGAAGCCUUCAAGCUGUCUUAC